GGGCGGGUGCGAGAAGGCGGACGCGCGUACGACCAUGUCUGUGGGGGAUUAGUGGCGAACGGGUGAGUAACACGUGGGCAAUCUGCCCUUCACUCUGGGACAAGCCCUGGAAACGGGGUCUAAUACCGGAUACGACCACUUCAGGCAUCUGAUGGUGGUGGAAAGCUCCGGCGGUGAAGGAUGAGCCCGCGGCCUAUCAGCUUGUUGGUGAGGUAAUGGCUCACCAAGGCGACGACGGGUAGCCGGCCUGAGAGGGCGACCGGCCACACUGGGACUGAGACACGGCCCAGACUCCUACGGGAGGCAGCAGUGGGGAAUAUUGCACAAUGGGCGAAAGCCUGAUGCAGCGACGCCGCGUGAGGGAUGACGGCCUUCGGGUUGUAAACCUCUUUCAGCAGGGAAGAAGCGCAAGUGACGGUACCUGCAGAAGAAGCGCCGGCUAACUACGUGCCAGCAGCCGCGGUAAUACGUAGGGCGCAAGCGUUGUCCGGAAUUAUUGGGCGUAAAGAGCUCGUAGGCGGCUUGUCGCGUCGGAUGUGAAAGCCCGGGGCUUAACCCCGGGUCUGCAUUCGAUACGGGCAGGCUAGAGUGUGGUAGGGGAGAUCGGAAUUCCUGGUGUAGCGGUGAAAUGCGCAGAUAUCAGGAGGAACACCGGUGGCGAAGGCGGAUCUCUGGGCCAUUACUGACGCUGAGGAGCGAAAGCGUGGGGAGCGAACAGGAUUAGAUACCCUGGUAGUCCACGCCGUAACGUUGGGAACUAGGUGUUGGCGACAUUCCACGUCGUCAGUGCCGCAGCUACGCGUAAGUUCCCCGCCUGGGGAGUACGGCCGCAAGGCUAAAACUCAAGGAAUUGACGGGGGCCCGCACAAGCAGCGGAGCAUGUGGCUUAAUUUCGACGCAACGCGAGAACCUUACCAAGGCUUGACAUACACCGGAAGCAUAGAGAUAGUGCCCCCUUGUGGUCGGUGUACAGGUGGUGCAUGGCUGUCGUCAGCUCGUGUCGUGAGAUGUGGGUAGGUCCCGCAACGGAGCGCAACCUUGUUCUGUGUUGCAGCAUGCUUCGG
rnacentral:rRNA from 1 species